rnacentral:rRNA from 1 species
UACGUAGGGUGCGAGCGUUGUCCGGAUUUAUUGGGCGUAAAGAGCGUGUAGGCGGUUAUACAGGUCCGCUGUGAAAACUGGAGGCUUAACCUCCAGACGUCGGUGGAAACCGUAUGACUAGAGUCCGGAAGAGGCGAGUGGAACUCCUGGUGUAGCGGUGGAAUGCGCAGAUAUCAGGAAGAACACCAACGGCGAAGGCAGCUCGCUGGGACGGAACUGACGCUAAGGCGCGAAAGCGUGGGGAGCGAACAGG